GCGGCGGAGGCGCCGGGUUGCGAGACGCCGCCACUCGGCUGUCAAGCGCCGGUCCUUCAGGAGACACAGGCACCAUGAAGAGGAGGAGGAGCCGGACGCCUUGGAUGACUUGGGACCGUUUAGUGAGCCGGUAGAUGACUUCGAGAUGUAGAGCCAGAGCCCCUGAGAAGACCAGCUGCCACACGGGCCUGGCUGCAACAAUAAAGCAUAGCAAGCUUUCAUGAUGAGUGUGUGUGUCUCCAGUGCGCUGUGCAGUAGAUCGCUUGGUGUCCGUUCAUGUUUCAGGGGUGGGGGACGCCGCGCCCCGGGCAGCCUCACACGGCCCCAGCCUGGCGCCGCAGCGACACCUAGCGGCUGCGGCAGGCACCGCGGGCGGGGCGCGCGCCACGGGCCACGGUCACACACACGAAUACACCCAAACAAACGUACCCAACAAACAAACAUACCCAACAAACAAACAUACCCAACAAACAAACAUACCCAACAAACAAACAUACCCAACAAACAUACCCACCCAACAAACAAACAUACCCAACAAACAAACAUACCCAACAAACAAACAUACCCAACAAACAAACAUACCCAACAAACAAACAUACCCAACAAACAAACAUACCCAACAAACAAACAUACCCAACAAACAAACAUACCCAACAAACAAACAUACCCAACAAACAAACAUACCCAACAAACAAACAUACCCAACAAACAUACCCAACACCCCCCCCCCCCCCCCCCCCCCCCCCCCCCCCCCCCCCCCCCCCCCCCCCCCCCCCCCCCCCCCCCCCCCCCCCCCCCCCCCCCCCCCCCCCCCCCCCCCCCCCCCCCCCCCCCCCCC
rnacentral:lncRNA from 1 species